GCCGGGCGUGGCGGCGCAUGCCUGUAAUCCUGGCUACUCCGGAGGCUGAGGCAGGAGAAUCUUUUGAGCCCAGGAGGUGGAGGUUGUGGUGAGCUGAGAUCACGCCAUUGCACUCCAGCCUGGGCUAUAAGAGGGAAACUCUGUCUCAU
rnacentral:SRP_RNA from 1 species